rnacentral:lncRNA from 1 species
GGGUCAUCUUCUUGCUACGUGGGGCUCCACUUUGGGUGGUCCUACGACAGCAUUAAUGGUGAUAAAUUUAGCUCCGCCCGUGGAUUCGGCGGCUACGACCUUUAUUUGUCGGAAAAGGCGGGCUCUUAAGGUGCAAGACUCCUACUCUUCCUCUUCGUGGGCGCUGCGCUUGACGCCGUGACCAAUCACAGGCCACGUCGCGUCGCUGCAGCCAAUCGGAAGAGCCUAGAACAUUAAGACGAGCAUUUGACGACUCCUCCUCUCUGUUCCAGGGUGCUUAGUGGAUUUAGUUGUUUAUGGUCUAGUUUUGCUACUGUUUCAACACGCACCGGGUACAUCCGGUGCCAUCGUGGUUCUUGUGAGGCAAGGCCUGAGAAUGCGAAGCGGGGAGGUAGGAGUAAUAUUGAGGUGAAACUAGGGGCAUGCCGUUAGGUCUCCGGUACGAACUCUUAAAGGGACUGGAUAUGGGUGAAGAGAUGGGAGGGAGAGCGAUAAACGCGAUACCCUAGAAAUGUUAAAGACAAUAUUGGGCCCCCAAAUAAAUUAUCUACUGAGAGGCAUAUAAUUUCCUUGCAUUUUAUUUGGUAGUUCCCUGAUGUGGCGAUGUUAUAGGAGCUGUUGGGAUGGUUGGCCUUAGAUAUGUGACCCCGGAGGAGCAUGAAUAAGAGUGUUAAUACGGGGAUACGUCGUUUUUUAAUUCAACGAACAUUUUCUACAAGACCGUUUGUCACUGUGGGGCAAUUAAGGAAACAAGGUAAGAUCCUUGGGGCACCACAUGUCUAGUGGGGAAUCGUCAAUAUAAUUAGUAAGAGGGUCAGGACAGAAAGCGCAAUGAAAUGAUUUGGGUUGGGAUGUGGCGCAUUGUAGAUAGUUUUCAAGAAGCGAGAAGGUCUUCAAAAGAUGUCUUUGUUAAGCUCUAUAUGUUUACGGUAUGAGAUUUCAAUUGUCAUGGAAGAAACAAAAUGGGGCCAAAAUAGGGCAUAAUUUCUGUCUUUGGAGAGACACUUAGCAUAUUAAGUGGCUUCUUUCUCUCCUGCUUACAUUGGAGGCCCAUUAAGGAAACCAGAAAAGUUUGUACUUUUCAUUCAGUUUUUUCAUUUCCUUCUCCUGUAGGCGAGGGUGAUUCCAACAUUUCCAAGCCAGAUUGCGUCUUUUUCCCCUUGUUGUUUUCUUAGUCCAGAUUCCAGCCAAAAGGUACUACUUAUUGACAUCUGCUUUCCAUUAUAAUAUGCUUGUAUCUUGUUUGAACGAGAUUAACAGAGCUUUUGUGUAUGUCCCUUUCUUAAAAGUCAUGUGGCCUGAGGAUAGUCCAUGACUUUGGGGAAAAUUGAACCAUGGGCUGUGUGCUUGCUUGGAUGUUAGACGUGCAAAGGGUAGGAUCUGGAUUAAAAUUAUCUUCAGUCUGUUAGGCUAUUAGAAACUUUCUUAGUACUCAACCAGUUAAGACCCAAAUGAGGCUAAGUAGAAAUACAUAACAGUUUUAUCUUUAAGGAAAAAAUUGGUUGCCUUGUUUUUUUGGUAACAGUUUUGUUGAGAUAUAACUCCUACACCAUACAGUUAGCCCAUAUAAAGUGUGCAUUAAGUUUUAGUAUAUUCAAGAGUUGUGCAGUCAUCACCAUGAUCAAUUUUAGGACAUUUUCAUCACCACCCCUCCCCCCCCCCCAAAAAAAACCACAUUCUCAUUAACAGUCACUCCCUAUAUCUUCCCUAUCCUCUGUUCUUGGAAACCACUAUUUUUUUUUUUGUCUAUGUAGAUUUGCCUAUACAAUUUCAUAUAAAUGGAAUCAAAAACUAAUAUACGGCCUUUUGCAAGCAGCUUCUUUCAUUUAGAUAUUUACUUAUUUAUUUUGAAAGAGAGAUUUAGAGCAUAAACAGAGGAGAGGUAGAGGGAGGGGAAGAGAGAAAGAAUCCCAAGCAGGUUCCACACUGUGAGCACAGAGCCCAGUACGGGGAACUCACGAGCUGUGAGAUCAUGACCAGACCCAAAAUCAAGACAUUUCUGAGUUACACAGGCGCCCUGAGUACUUCCAUUUUUUUUUUUUAAUUGUCAAAAGAUGUUCCAUUGUAUGUAUAUACUGCUAUGAUGAUUUUAUUUAACCAUUUAUCAGUUGACCAUUUGAGUUGUUUCCAUUGUGGGGGAUUAUUAUGAAUAAUUCUGCUGUGAAAAUUAGUGUACAAGUUUGUGUAUGGACAUAUGUUUUCAUUUCUUUUGAGUAUAUACCUGAAGGUGGAAUCGCUAGGUCAUAUGCUAAGUGUUAAUGUUUAACCUCAAGGAAAUGCCAAACUGUUUUUCCAAAGUGCCUGGACCAUUUUACAUUCCCAUUAGCAGUGGAUGAGGGUCCCAUUUUCUCCACGUUCUUGUGUGAAGUGGUAUUUCAUCGUGGUGGUUGCCUGAUUUUUAAGGACUCCAGGUUUGCAGGGAACCUGCUAGAGGAUGCUCCUUGCAUGUAGAGACCAAUGUGUAAGGUGAAUUUGUCUUUUCAGGCUCUACCACACAAAUACAUGCCCCUGAAAAAUACCUCAUGUUCAGCAAAAUUAUGCAUGUGAAAGUAGUGCUUGUAGGAAAAAGAAAAAGCAUUGAGUACUCAAAAUCUGUGCAAUUGGAUAAGUUCUAAAAUAGUAAUCAGUACCUGGAAAGUACUCCUGUGCCCUCCUCUCACCCCUUAAGGGUAACUUAAAUGGACCUUACCGUAGGGUAUAUUAAAAGAGCAAGCCUGGUGGGUGCUAGACAUUACAGAUAGGAAGUGGAGCUCUGAGCUCAUAAGUUGCUAAACGGUACAGAGGGCAGGUGGGAGUAGCUGGGUGGGAGGGAAUCCCCAGGUGCAGGCUCUCAUUUUUCAUUUUCUUUUUUUUGUUGUUAUGUUUAUCUUUGAGAGAGAGGGACAGAGCAUGAGUGGGGGAGGGACAGAUGGAGGGGGACACACAGAAUCCGAAGCAGGCUCCAGGCUCUGAGCUGUCAGCACAGAGCCUAACGUGGGCCUCGAACCCACGAACCACAAGAUCAUGACCUAAGCUGAAGUCAGACACUUAACCAACUGAGCCACCCAGGUGCCCCAAUCUCAUUUUUCAUUUUCUUAAGUUAGAGUUGAAAGUACCCCUGCUGCCAGUUCAGCAUCAGAGUUCAGAGGGAAGGGUUUUUUAUUUUAAUUUUCUUUUAAGUGGAUUCCAGAUAUUGUGGCUGCCCAAGGAUAGAUGAAACCGUGGCUCUCACAUUAUUCUGAAAGCAUUCUUGAAAUUAUUAAUUACAAAUGAGUUACUGAAAACUGCUAUGCUGCAAAACAGAUGUACUUAAAUGUAAACUGGUUAAAUGAAAACUCACUUUAUGGAAGCCACAAGGGGUCUAGGUUUUCUUAAUGUACUCCUGGAUAGGGAAAUAGGUAAUUCCUCAUAAAAGCAUGCUUUUUUUUUUUAGUUGUAGUUAUGUAUCUUUAUGUUCGUUUAUAACUUGUGCAUUUUUGUUGCUGUUUUUUACUGUUUUACUAGUGACGUUGAGGUUCUCAGUUUAAUCAUUUGAUUGUCUUUGCUUCUUCCAAUAACUUCAUAUCCAGUGAUUAAACCUUUUCACUGCUGUUCACAUAAUGAACCGUUGUGAUUAUUGAAUACAUUAAUGAGGAUAUGUAAACUGUAUUAAAGAUAUUGGGAAAAUGCAUGGACUGUUGUGCAUUGUAAUAUAAAAGAAAAUAUCUCUUUUUAGGAAUUACAUUCUUGGAGAUGUUGGAAAAAGAUUCCUGGGACUUCAAAGAUAAUCACUCCAGAUAUACAGGGGAGGUAGUAUAUCUUUUUUUAAAUGUAUUAAGUGUUCCCAGAACAAUGGUAGUGCGUUGGAAAUGGCAGAUUAUCUAAGUAAAGAUUUACGAAGACUUUGGUGAAAUCUAAUUUCCUGUUACAGAAUUUUAUUAAUUUGGUCACUUGGAGAAAAAAGAACAACUAAUGCUUCUUGAACCACUACGUGCCAGGCAUUGUGCUAAGCAUUGUAUAGACACACAAGUUUGUUUUAUAAACAAAUGUAUUUCUCACAACAACCCUAGGAAAGCAAAUAGACCUUUUGCCUUCUAGGACUGGUAUCUUCCUUGUUGAACACCUACUCUUUUGUCAGAUUCUUAUUUCUACUAGAACCUUUAUUUAUUGUCCUGUUGAAUUAAAAUGUAUUUCUGGUAACUGACUUACAUUCUUGCUGAAUUUUUCACCGUUUCAUUCAGAAAGCCUUCGGGUUUUGAAAUUAUUGGUGGCCAACUUAAAAACUGUUCCCGAAUCUGACCCUUUCCUAAAACUUCAGACCUUUCCAGCUAAUUCAUAAGUUGUACAUUUUGCUUUUUGAAUAUGGAUUGUGACCCUCUGUAUGAAUUAUUUAUUACUAUGUAAAAGUUAUUCAAAACUUAGUAGUUUACAACAACACUUACCUUACAGUGGGAGGAGGGCAAAGCAGAGAGACAUCAUCUUCUGGGCUCUCACUUGGCAAGCCUUGGUUUCUUGAUGGCUGUUGACUGAAGACUUCAGUGCUUCACCAUGAGAACCUCUCCAUAGGCUGCCUGAGAACUCUCGCAACAUGACAACUAUCUUUCCCCAGAGGGAAUGAUCCAAGAGAGAAAUGCCAAGUUAACAUGUAAGUCGACACAUAUGAGGGUGUGAAUACCAAGAGGUGGGAGAUCAUUGGGGACCAUCUUGGAGGCUGACUAUCACCCUUUACUCUUUUUUUUUUUUUUUAAACUGCUUCAAUUUAUUGAAUCAAGAGAUUUAACAUUAGACCCUCUGGUCAGGUAAUGAGAAGUAUGAGAGCAUAUGUAUUCAAAUAAGUGCUCUCAUUUCUAAGAUGCACGGUUUCUUGCCCGUGAAUAUAUAAAUUCCAUAAGUGAUGCCACUCCUAUUGGAAAUUUUCUAGAGAAUAUAUAAGAAAGCUUAUUUUAUAGAUAGAGAAUAUUGGACUUUGAUCAUAUAUGUUUUUUUUUCUUGGAUCCAUUUCUCCUCUCCCAACUCCUCCUUAGGUGAAGGUGGUUAGAGAAGCUGGAAGUAGACUAUAGAGAGAAAUUGAGUACCCCUAUCCCUGGUAUUUUGCUUGGGGUGCAGACUGACUUGGAAUGGUUGAAAUUUCUGUUUAGAGUUUUCUAAGGAAUGCAAUCCAAUUACUUAAAGGCACUUACACAUAUAUUUGACAUUGGAUGGAAUAAAGGUAUAAAUACACAGCAGCAGCUUUAGAGCGAUUUGUCCUUUUCCUCAAAAGCUUGAUAUUUAUCCAGUUUGGUGAGUAUAUUUCCUUUUCUUUCUGUUGCUCCCCCCUCCCACCACGGUCUUUUAUCUCUCUUGAUGUGCAAAAUACAGACUUUGCCAAG